rnacentral:rRNA from 1 species
GUGGGGAAUAUUGGACAAUGGGCGAAAGCCUGAUCCAGCCAUGCCGCGUGUGUGAAGAAGGUCUUCGGAUUGUAAAGCACUUUAAGUUGGGAGGAAGGGCAGUAAGUUAAUACCUUGCUGUUUUGACGUUACCGACAGAAUAAGCACCGGCUAACUUCGUGCCAGCAGCCGCGGUAAUACGAAGGGUGCAAGCGUUAAUCGGAAUUACUGGGCGGAAAGCGCGCGUAGGUGGUUUUGUAAGUUGGAGGUGAAAUCCCCGGGCGCAACCUGGGAACUGCCUCCAAAACUGCAUGACUAGAGUACGGUAGAGGGUAGUGGAAUUUCCUGUGUAGCGGUGAAAUGCGUAGAUAUAGGAAGGAACACCAGUGGCGAAGGCGACUACCUGGACUGAUACUGACACUGAGGUGCGAAAGCAUGGGGAGCAAACAGGAUUAGAUACCCUAGUAGUCC